GAUGAACGCUAGCUACAGGCUUAACACAUGCAAGUCGAGGGGAAACGAUAUUGGAAGCUUGCUUCCGAUAGGCGUCGACCGGCGCACGGGUGAGUAACGCGUAUCCAACCUGCCCACCACUUGGGGAUAACCUUGCGAAAGUAAGACUAAUACCCAAUGAUAUCUCUAGAAGACAUCUGAAGGAGAUUAAAGAUUCAUCGGUGAUGGAUGGGGAUGCGUCUGAUUAGCUUGUUGGCGGGGUAACGGCCCACCAAGGCGACGAUCAGUAGGGGUUAUGAGAGAAGUGUACCCCACAUUGGAAGUGAGGCACGGGCCAAACUCCUACAGGAGGCAGCAGUGAGGAAUAUUGGUCAAUGGGCGAGAGCCUGAACCAGCCAAGUAGCGUGCAGGAUGACGGCCCUAUGGGUUGUAAACUGCUUUUAUAAGGGAAUAAAGUGAGUCUCGUGAGACUUUUUGCAUGUACCUUAUGAAUAAGGACCGGCUAAUUCCGUGCCAGCCGCCGCAGUAA
rnacentral:rRNA from 1 species